rnacentral:rRNA from 1 species
CACGCAGGCGGCAGAGACAAGUCUGAUGUGAAAGACCACGGCUUAACCGUGGGAACGCAUUGGAAACUGUUUUGCUAGAGUGGUUUAGGGGAGACUGGAAUUCCUAGUGUAGGGGUGAAAUCUGUAGAUAUUAGGAAGAACACCGGUGGCGAAGGCGAGUCUCUGGGAACCAACUGACGCUGAGGUGCGAAAGCGUGGGGAGCGAACA